CAGUUGGAAACGACUGCUAAUACCCGAUGUGCCGAAAGGUGAAACCUAAUUGGCCUGAAGAAGAGCUUGCGUCUGAUUAGCUAGUUGGUGGGGUAAGAGCCUACCAAGGCGACGAUCAGUAGCUGGUCUGAGAGGAUGAGCAGCCACACUGGGACUGAGACACGGCCCAGACUCCUACGGGAGGCAGCAGUGGGGAAUUUUCCGCAAUGGGCGAAAGCCUGACGGAGCAACGCCGCGUGAGGGAGGAAGGUCUUUGGAUUGUAAACCUCUUUUCUCAAGGAAGAAGUUCUGACGGUACUUGAGGAAUCAGCCUCGGCUAACUCCGUGCCAGCAGCCGCGGUAAUACGGGGGAGGCAAGCGUUAUCCGGAAUUAUUGGGCGUAAAGCGUCCGCAGGUGGUCAGCCAAGUCUGCCGUCAAAUCAGGUUGCUUAACGACCUAAAGGCGGUGGAAACUGGCAGACUAGAGAGCAGUAGGGGUAGCAGGAAUUCCCAGUGUAGCGGUGAAAUGCGUAGAGAUUGGGAAGAACAUCGGUGGCGAAAGCGUGCUACUGGGCUGUAUCUGACACUCAGGGACGAAA
rnacentral:rRNA from 1 species